rnacentral:piRNA from 1 species
UAUGUUGGAAUUGAUCAACAAGGUUUGC